ensembl:lncRNA
AUUACUGUUCAGAAGAGCAUGAGUUUAAUACUAUGUUUCUUUUCAACAGCUCUUUGUUCAUAAACAUAGUAUUUGCGUGGAUCAUUUUUCUUCUUUCCCAGAGUAAUCCAUAAUAUUGAAGGUAUUUUUUUUUGUUGUUUUUUUGUUUUUUGUUUUUAAAGAGGUACCUUGGGAGGAAUUACAUUGGUACUAAGGGAGGAGAUGAUGAUACUAGAGCAAACUGCAGAAAUGAGCAGGUUAAGGAGACAAGCUCAAGCAGAUCUUUUCCUUUGUGGUGGGAUAACUUCAUGCUUGCGUUUGUUCUACAAUGGCUAACGUUGAAUGUGUAGCACUGUAUCCCACUGUCAACCACAUCUGAAUUCAGUCUUUUCUAGUUUACUGAAGAAAAUACACUGAAUUCUAGGCAAGGGGGUUUUGCACUUCACACUUUGUAUAGCAACUUCUCCCACCUGUUUUUCGCACUUCUCUCACUUUCGAUUUCUUACCUAGAGUGCUUGGUGGGGUAAUCCUUUUUAUGUAUGUGGUUUUUCUCCCUACUACUGAAGUCAGAUAAGCAUCGAUUUAAAAUGUGGAGAGUUUCUUUACCCAUAACAGUACACCGCCAUGAGAGGAAGAUUCACUGUAUCAUAAUUUAACUUGAUUUUGAAAACAGACUUUAAUUUUUCCCUCUUCUAGUUGUGCUCAUGACUGCGAUGUAUCUUUUGGAAUAAAUUCUACACAUAAGCCUUUUGGGGGACAGGGGAGCAAAUGUAGGCUUUGUACAUCAGUGGUCCCUCUUGAUUCUGUUAAUAUCAGUGUGCUGUUCUUUAUAGGAAGUGUAAGUGAAACCUAAAUAAGGAAAAGUUGUUGGGGGGUGGGGGGAGGGGAUGCUUUCUUUGUGAUCUCAAGAAAUCAUAACAUGUUGCCUAGAUUAUGAAAUGGUUAUCACUAAGCUACUGAGGCCUUCAUUGCCUUUCUGGUUGUAAGGUUUACUUGUCUUUAUUGUAACUGAAAUAAAUAAAUGUGCUGUUCAUC